rnacentral:rRNA from 1 species
UGGGGAAUAUUGCACAAUGGGCGCAAGCCUGAUGCAGCCAUGCCGCGUGUGUGAAGAAGGCCUUCGGGUUGUAAAGCACUUUCAGUCGGGAGGAAGGUGGUAAGGUUAAUAACCUUAUCAAUUGACGUUACCGACAGAAGAAGCACCGGCUAACUCCGUGCCAGCAGCCGCGGUAAUACGGAGGGUGCAAGCGUUAAUCGGAAUUACUGGGCGUAAAGCGCACGCAGGCGGUUGAUUGAGUCAGAUGUGAAAUCCCCGGGCUUAACCCGGGUAAUGCAUCUGAUACUGGUCAGCUAGAGUCUUGUAGAGGGGGGUAGAAUACCAUGUGUAGCGGUGAAAUGCGUAGAGAUGUGGAGUAAUGCAGGUGGCGAAGGCGGCCCCCUGGACAAAGACUGACGCUCAGGUGCGAAAGCGUGGGGAGCAAACAGG